GGGGGUGGAUUGGGCCUGGUGGCCUGCCUGGACUUCAAAUCCAGUGGGAGGCGGUGAUCCCGUCUUCGGUGGGUUCGAUUCCCACACACUCCC
rnacentral:tRNA from 1 species